GGCAGUGUAGCAUAAUGGCUAAGGUGUUGGUCUCGUAACCGAAAGGUCGCAGGUUCGACUCCCCGGUAGGGCACUGCCG
rnacentral:tRNA from 1 species